AGCGAACGCUGGCGGCAGGCCUAACACAUGCAAGACGAGCGCCGUAGCAAUACGGAGCGGCAGACGGGAGAGUAACACGUGGGAACGUGCCCUUUGGUUCGGAACAACCCAGGGAAACUUGGGCUAAUACCGGAUAAGCCCUUACGGGGAAAGAUUUAUCGCCGAAGGAUCGGCCCGCGUCUGAUUAGCUAGUUGGUGGGGUAAGGGCCCGCCAAGGCGACGAUCAGUAGCUGGUCUGAGAGGAUGAUCAGCCUCACUGGGACUGAGACACGGCCCAGACUCCUACGGGAGGCAGCAGUGGGGAAUAUUAGACAAUGGGCGCAAGCCUGAUCCAGCCAUGCCGCGUGGGUGAUGAAGGCCCUAGGGUUGUAAAGCCCUUUCGGCGGGGAAGAUAAUGACGGUACCCGCAGAAGAAGCCCCGGCUAACUUCGUGCCAGCCGCCGCGGUAA
rnacentral:rRNA from 1 species